GCGGCCUAUCAGGUAGUAGUGGGUCUAAAGUACCUACUAGCCUACGACGGGUACGGGUUGUGAGAGCAAGAGCCCGGAGAUGGAUUCUGAGACACGAAUCCAGGCCCUACGGGGUGCAGCAGGCGCGAAAACUUUACAAUGCCGGCAACGGCGAUAAGGGGACCUCGAGUGCCAGGUUACAAAUCUGGCUGUCGUGAUGCCUAAAAAGCAUUGCAUAGCAAGGGCCGGGCAAGACCGGUGCCAGCCGCCGCGGUAACACCGGCGGCUCGAGUGGUAACCGUUAUUAUUGGGUCUAAAGGGUCUGUAGCCGGCCGGAUAAGUCUCUUGGGAAAUCCAGCAGCUCAACUGUUGGGCUUCCAGGAGAUACUGUCUGGCUCGAGGCCGGGAGAGGUGAGAGGUACUUCAGGGGUAGGGGUGAAAUCUUGUAAUCCUUGAAGGACCACCAGUGGCGAAGGCGUCUCACCAGAACGGACCUGACGGCAAGGGACGAAAGCUAGGGGCACGAACCGGAUUAGAUACCCGGGUAGUCCUAGCCGUAAACGAUACUCGCUAGGUGUCGGCCACGGUGCGACCGUGGUCGGUGCCGUAGGGAAGCCGUGAAGCGAGCCACCUGGGAAGUACGGCCGCAAGGCUGAAACUUAAAGGAAUUGGCGGGGGAGCAC
rnacentral:rRNA from 1 species